AGGGAUCCUACCAGUUCUUCAAUUUUAACUUCAUCUAGGUCCUUACUUUCCUCAAUGGCAGUGACUUUAGGCCUAAAUCUCUUGGGCAGGGACCUAAGCACUUUUCUCACAAUUUUAGACUCGGGAAUUCUCUCACCUAGAUUGAAGCUAGAAUUAACAAUGUCAUUCAAUUUAGCAUAGAAUUCGUCAAACGUUUCAUCAUCCUUCAUUCUCACUUCUUCAAACCUAGAUGCUAGCAUUUGUAACUUAGAAUU
rnacentral:lncRNA from 1 species